rnacentral:lncRNA from 1 species
AUAGGUCAAGUACUAAAUGGAUCCUCUAGCUCCUAUCGGAACUAUCCAAAACCCGAAAUACCCGAACCGAACCGAACCGAUACCCGAAAUGCCCAGCCCAACACCAAAUCACACGUUUCUUACACUAGCGGACAAUUCUAGUUUAAAAUCUUAGGAUAAAGGAACAAACAUAAUAUUUAUCAUUACAUGUCACCAUUAUCAUCACCUUCAUACCAUUAUCAUCAUUUUCCACAAUCAUCAUCAUUCUUAUCAUAUCACCACCAUCAUCGUAACAUAACGGUGAUGCACGUUUGCAUGUCCCUC